rnacentral:lncRNA from 1 species
AGAGGUUCAAACUCCAAGAGGUCAUCAGAGCUUUUACACUGCCUUUGUGUUGUUUUCAUAUAAAUAUUUUUACUGGAACAAUUUUUGGCAGAUGAAGCCCACUCUCAGGACUGUGGAAAGAGGAGAAUUUUGUUCACCACAUGCCAAUGAUUCUGCUGAUAUUUGAUAGUUCCUGCUAGGUUGUGCCACUGCUGCUGUUAUCCUGAUACUCCCAAACUUGACUGCUGGAAUAUACACGAAGUGUUUGUGAGUUGAUCGAGCUACCGCUGCUGACCUGUGUACUGAACUGCUGCUUUCCUGACAACACUGAAGGGAGCUGCUCCAGAGAACCAUUUCUAAACACAUUCAUUUCCCCUACACAGGCCAAUCGGCUGGUUUUAG